rnacentral:rRNA from 1 species
UACGUAGGGGGCAAGCGUUAUCCGGAAUUACUGGGCGUAAAGCGCACGCAGGCGGUUCGCCAAGUUUGGAGUGACAGUUGUCGGCUCAACCGACAAAGGACUUCAAAAACUGGUGAACUUGAGGACGAGAGAGGAACAUGGAACUCCAGGUGUAGUAGUGAAAUGCGUAGAUAUCUGGAAGAACACCAAUGGCGAAGGCAAUGUUCUGGCUCGUUUCUGACACUCAGGUGCGAAAGCCAGGGGAGCGAACGGG